CUAGUAUAUAUCCUUACGUCCGCCUCUUCCCUCUUCUCUUCUAUUCAUCGUCGCCCCCAACCUUUUCCCUCUCAUUUCCCUCUCGUAUACACUCCACUUCCGGCCGACCAAGCACACACACGACGACAUAUUUUGGAAUACGCAUCCAGACACGAGCAGAAACACUCGUACUCACGUGAAACACAACGUGACAACCAAUAUCUUUCUUCUUCCGAUCGCUCGUUGCCACAGUUAUAAUUGGCGGCCUUCGUCUUCGAUGCUCGUUGAAGCGGCGACGGUGGUUGGGCACCGGUAGUUCACAGUAGCCAUAUAAACAUGGCAGUGACUGAGCGGUUCACGACAGUUAGCCAACACGAAAGGGAUGGUGGCGUGACAACCCUAGACUUCUUGCAUCCGACUGGCUCGCUCUCUUUCAGACAUAGGAGGGGGGGGGGGGGGGGGGUGGCUCCGGCGAUUUCCGGCUCCAAUGGCGGAUAGGAGGAAGCGGGUGAAGGAUGGGGUAUAAGUGGCGGUUGUAGCACUCUCCUAAGAAGCUGAUGCUUGAAGAACGGACCACGAAAUUUGAACGACGCCUCUUAGCAACAUUAUUCUUUUAGAAUGUAGUAGUGUCUUUAUUAGAUUUUGAUGUUUUUUUUUCCAGAUUUGAAAGUUUUUUUAGUUUUAUUCUUUAACAAUAAAUGUAAUUCUUAGCAAUUGUUACAUGUAUUCUAUAAGAAUUAAUGUAAUUUUUGUUUUAAUUCAUCAA